rnacentral:rRNA from 1 species
AGAGUUUGAUCCUGGCUCAGAAUGAACGCUGGCGGCGUGCUUAACACAUGCAAGUCGAACGAGAAAGGGAUUGCUUGCAAUCCUGAGUAGAGUGGCGCACGGGUGAGUAACACGUAGAUAAUCUACCCCCAAGCCCGGGAUAACUAUUCGAAAGGGUGGCUAAUACCGGAUGCAGUGUAUAUUCAUAAGAGUAUACAUGAAAGAUUGCCUCUUCAUUGAAAGCAGUUGUUUGGGGAUGAGUUUGCGGACCAUUAGUUAGUUGGUGGGGUAAAGGCCUACCAAGGCGACGAUGGUUAGCUGGUCUGAGAGGAUGAUCAGCCACACUGGAACUGGAACACGGUCCAGACUCCUACGGGAGGCAGCAGUGAGGGAUUUUGCGCAAUGGGGUAACCCCUGACGCAGCAACGCCGCGUGAGUGAAGAAGGCCUUUGGGUCGUAAAGCUCUGUCAACUGGGAAGAAGUUAUAUGAUAUUAACAGUGUUAUAUAUUGACGGUACCAGUGGAGGAAGCGCCGGCUAACUCCGUGCCAGCAGCCGCGGUAACACGGGGGGCGCAAGCGUUAUUCGGAAUUAUUGGGCGUAAAGGGCGCGUAGGCGGUUUUGUCGGUCAGAUGUGAAAGCCCGGGGCUCAACCCCGGACGUGCAUUUGAAACAGCAAGACUUGAGUACGGGAGAGGAAAGCGGAAUUCCUGGUGUAGAGGUGAAAUUCGUAGAUAUCAGGAGGAACACCGAUGGCGAAGGCAGCUUUCUGGACCGAUACUGACGCUGAGGCGCGAAGGCGUGGGUAGCGAACAGGAUUAGAUACCCUGGUAGUCCACGCAGUAAACGAUGUACACUAGGUGUAGCGGGUAUUAAAACUUGCUGUGCCGGAGCUAACGCAUUAAGUGUACCGCCUGGGGAGUACGGUCGCAAGACUAAAACUCAAAGGAAUUGACGGGGGCCCGCACAAGCGGUGGAGCAUGUGGUUUAAUUCGAUGCAACGCGAAGAACCUUACCUGGGCUUGACAUCCCGAGAAUAUUUUAGAGAUAAGAUAGUGCCUUUCGGGGAACUCGGAGACAGGUGCUGCAUGGCUGUCGUCAGCUCGUGUCGUGAGAUGUUGGGUUAAGUCCCGCAACGAGCGCAA